rnacentral:rRNA from 1 species
GCUGGCGGCGUGCCUAAUACAUGCAAGUCGAGCGAGCUGAAUUCAAAGAUUCCUUCGGGAUGAUUUGUUGGACGCUAGCGGCGGAUGGGUGAGUAACACGUGGGCAAUCUGCCCUAAAGACUGGGAUACCACUUGGAAACAGGUGCUAAUACCGGAUAACAACAUGAAUCGCAUGAUUCAAGUUUGAAAGGCGGCGUAAGCUGUCACUUUAGGAUGAGCCCGCGGCGCAUUAGCUAGUUGGUGGGGUAAAGGCCUACCAAGGCAAUGAUGCGUAGCCGAGUUGAGAGACUGAUCGGCCACAUUGGGACUGAGACACGGCCCAAACUCCUACGGGAGGCAGCAGUAGGGAAUCUUCCACAAUGGACGCAAGUCUGAUGGAGCAACGCCGCGUGAGUGAAGAAGGUUUUCGGAUCGUAAAGCUCUGUUGUUGGUGAAGAAGGAUAGAGGCAGUAACUGGUCUUUAUUUGACGGUAAUCAACCAGAAAGUCACGGCUAACUACGUGCCAGCAGCCGCGGUAAUACGUAGGUGGCAAGCGUUGUCCGGAUUUAUUGGGCGUAAAGCGAGCGCAGGCGGAAUGAUAAGUCUGAUGUGAAAGCCCACGGCUCAACCGUGGAACUGCAUCGGAAACUGUCAUUCUUGAGUGCAGAAGAGGAGAGUGGAAUUCCAUGUGUAGCGGUGGAAUGCGUAGAUAUAUGGAAGAACACCAGUGGCGAAGGCGGCUCUCUGGUCUGCAACUGACGCUGAGGCUCGAAAGCAUGGGUAGCGAACAGGAUUAGAUACCCUGGUAGUCCAUGCCGUAAACGAUGA